UUUUAAAUUUCGUUAGCUCUAUUAAAUUAAAAUUAACGAAUCGAUAACGAAAACUGACAAAAUAAACCAAAACUGACAAAACAAAUCAUGUGUUUGACAUGGAUGGAUGGAAAGCAAUAAAUAAAAAAAUAAAUACAUUGUCAGCAUAGUUAAAAAAAUUAAAAAAAACAACCCUCCUUCCUAAAUGUCUCCGCCGACCAGCUCCUUCAGUUGAGUCUCCUCCUGCUAUUGUUUCACAUCUGGAAGCUGUUGACUCUUAUCCUGCUAUUGUUCCACAUAAA
rnacentral:lncRNA from 1 species